rnacentral:rRNA from 1 species
UACGUAGGGGGCAAGCGCUGUCCGGAUUUAUUGGGCGUAAAGAGCGUGUAGGCGGCCAGGUAGGUCUGCUGUGAAAACUCGAGGCUUAACCUCGAGAUGUCGGCGGAAACCAUCUGGCUAGAGUCCGGAAGAGGAGAGUGGAAUUCCUGGUGUAGCGGUGAAAUGCGCAGAUAUCAGGAAGAACACCCGUGGCGAAGGCGGCUCUCUGGGACGGUACUGACGCUGAGACGCGAAAGCGUGGGGAGCGAACAGG